rnacentral:piRNA from 1 species
UCUACAUUGAUAAGGUCUCCAUCCCUCUGC